rnacentral:ncRNA from 1 species
GUGAGCCUAGUGAUAGGAGACUAUCUAGCUUGGUUCGGAGAGCACUUGUUGAGUGAAAGAUUUUUUUGUUGCUAAAUGUAUGUUACGGCCUAAAUGCUGAACUAUUGACCCUAC